rnacentral:rRNA from 1 species
AUUGAACGCUGGCGGCAUGCCUUACACAUGCAAGUCGAACGGCAGCACGGGUGCUUGCCCCUGGUGGCGAGUGGCGAACGGGUGAGUAAUACAUCGGAACAUGUCCUGUAGUGGGGGAUAGCCCGGCGAAAGCCGGAUUAAUACCGCAUACGAUCUACGGAUGAUAGCGGGGGACCUUCGGGCCUCGCGCUAUAGGGUUGGCCGAUGGCUGUUUACCUAGUUGGGGGGGUACAGGCCUACCAAGGCGACGAUCAGUAGCUGAUCUGAGAGGACGACCAGCCACACUGGGACUGAGACACGGCCCAGACUCCUACGGGAGGCAGCAGUGGGGAAUUUUGGACAAUGGGCGAAAGCCUGAUCCAGCAAUGCCGCGUGUGUGAAGAAGGCCUUCGGGUUGUAAAGCACUUUUGUCCGGAAAGAAAUCCUUGGCUCUAAUACAGUCGGGGGAUGACGGUACCGGAAGAAUAAGCACCGGCUAACUACGUG